AUGCUCACAUUGGUAGCACGUAUACUAAUGUUGAAAUGAUACAGAGAAGAUUAGUACGGCCCCAUCUCAAGGGUGAUAUGCAAAUUGAUGAAGUGUUCUAUUUUUUA
ensembl:snRNA U6 U6 spliceosomal RNA